AGAGAGACCAGAGGCUGACGCUCUAUUACCCAGAGUGCAACAGGUGAGAGUACAAUCGGGUCAGGAAGACGACAUGUGGCGACAAGUCCUAGAGAAUGGCAGGUCGGCCUUCAAUGAGCACUGGCCCUACAGCGCUCUGGUUCCGGUUGGGGUCGGUGGUGCCGCACUUUGUUGGGUAUUAUGUGGAGGCAAAAGGAAGACUAUAGAAAUGGGGGAUGGAUGGUGGGGACCCGGAACGAAACCUGAUGAGAAGGAAGACACCCGAAUCAGUCCAUUCCGGGUGGAGGUCUCCGAAGAUGUUA